rnacentral:piRNA from 1 species
UAAUUGUGUGUACGUGCCUGCGUGUGUGG